AGCUUUGUUGGUAAAGCGCUUGUCUAGCAUACAAGAACAGUGAGUUCAAAUCCCAC
rnacentral:tRNA from 1 species